CGGGCUGUAGCGCAGGGGGAGCGCGCGUCGUUCGGGACGAUGAGGUCGGAGGUUCAAAUCCUCUCAGCCCGACUA
rnacentral:tRNA from 1 species